rnacentral:rRNA from 1 species
UGGGGAAUCUUGGUCAAUGGGCGAAAGCCUGAACCAGCCAUGCCGCGUGUGUGAAGAAGGCCCUAGGGUUGUAAAGCACUUUAAGCAGGAAAGAAAAAGCCCGGGCUAAUACCCCGAGGCCUUGACGGUACCUGCAGAAUAAGCACCGGCAAACUCCGUGCCAGCAGCCGCGGUAAUACGGAGGGUGCAAGCGUUAACCGGAAUUACUGGGCGUAAAGCGUGCGUAGGCGGCUCCACAUGUCGGGUGUGAAAGCCCCGGGCUCAACCUGGGAAUUGCAUCCGAAACUGCGGGGCUAGAGUGUGGUAGAGGAAGAUGGAAUUCCACGUGUAGCGGUGAAAUGCGUAGAUAUGUGGAGGAACACCGAUGGCGAAGGCAGUCUUCUGGGCCAACACUGACGCUGAGGCACGAAAGCGUGGGUAGCGAACAGGAUUAGAUACCCCCGUAGUCC